GCCGAGCCCUGCCCGCCUGGUUCUCAUUUAGAGCAAGCCCAGCUACAGCGAGGACAUUCCAGAGGGGACAGUCAGACGCCAGUCCGCCCAGGGCUGGGGAAGCUAGGCUACGGGUCCCGCCAGGGUCAGAGGGCUCCGGACCAGGCUUCCUGCCCUGGCCACAUCUCCAAGCGGCUUAACCCUUCCAGGAGCAUGGCCGCUCUUCUGUGGCCUGCUGACCACAGCCACCACUGACCCUCGGCCUGAGCCGAGGCCUCCUGGCUCCCAGGCCCCUGUCCCUGCCCAGCCUGGUCUCCCUGCUGCCCUGCCCGUGGGCUUCCAGCUGUGGUCCACGCCUUCCGGGUUGAGGAGGCAGGGGACAGGACAAUUGCCACUAAUUAGGUGUCAGCUGCGGCUGCCACAGGCUCGGCCCUCCCGGGAGACGCAGGUGGAAGGCUCUCUCCCUGGAACGAGCCUGCCCUUCUCAGCCUGGAGUGAGUUAAUUAUACGCUGCGGCCUAAUGACACAAGUAGCGUUCCUGAAUUCCGCCAAAGUGACAAUUUCCCAUCCACAGAAAGCCGGCUGCCCGAGCUGCUCCCAGCUGGGCGUCCGGGCACGAAGCUCCCUGUUUGUGAUGGCCCCUCCCUCCGCUCCUGCUCCGCACCUGGAUUAUGGUACUCGGCUUGCUCAUCAAAAUAAAUUCUUUCUCCUGUCACUUCAACCCCCAAAGCUCCGAGGCAGGUGCAGGACCCAGGAGGGCAGUCACAGCCCUGAGCCGGCUACCACCUGGCCCUAGACCCAUCAGACAUGGAGGAGUGGCCCACACGGGGGAGGGCCAGGCCUGUCCCUGCUCUCCUGGAGGAUGAAUGGGCUGCUCUGCCUGGAGCUUCC
rnacentral:lncRNA from 1 species